UUCGAGCGUCAUUACAACCCUCAAGCUCAGCUUGGUAUUGGGUGCCAUCAGUCUUGAUGCACCUUAAAAUCAGUGGCGGUGCCAUUCGGCUUCAAGCGUAGUAAAUUUCUCGCCCUGGAGUUUAAUCGGUCUACCUGCCAGAACCCUCAAAUAUAUCAAAGGUUGACCUCGGAUCAGGUAGGGAUACCCGCUGAACUUAA
rnacentral:misc_RNA from 1 species